UACAGAGGUCCCGAGCGUUGUUCGGAUUUAUUGGGCGUAAAGGGUGCGUAGGUGGCAAAGUAAGUUGGAUGUGAAAUCCUGGGGCUCAACCUCAGAAUUGCAUUCAAUACUGCUUAGCUAGAGAGCUGUAGAGGAGACUGGAAUUUACGGUGUAGCAGUGAAAUGCGUAGAUAUCGGGAGGAACAUCAGUGGCGAAGGCGGCUACCUGGCCCAAUACUGACACUCAGGUGCGACAGCGUGGGGAGCAAACAGG
rnacentral:rRNA from 1 species